rnacentral:rRNA from 1 species
AAAGCGUGCGCAGGCGGUACGCUAUACAAUGUGACCCCCCUGGCUUAACCUGGGAACUGCAUUUGUGACUGGUGGACUAGAGUAUGGCAGAGGAGGGUGGAAUUCCUCGUGUAGCAUUGAAAUGCGUAGAGAUGUGGAGGAAUACCGAUGGCGAAGGCCGCCCCCUGGGCCAAUACUGACGCUCAUGCACGAAAGCGUGGGGAGCGAACAGGAUUAGAUACCCUGGUAGUCCACGCCCUAAACGAUGUCUACUAGUUGUUGGUUAUUCAUCUUGUUAGUAACGUAGUUAACGCAUGAAGUUGACCGCCUGGGGAGUACAGUCGCAAGAUUAAAACUCAUAGGAAUUGACCGGGACCCGCACAAGCGGUGGAUGAUGUGUAUUAAUUCUAUGCAACGCGAAAAAUCUUACCUAUCCUUGACAUGGUCAGAACCCUGCUCAUGGGUGGGGGUGCUCGAAAUAGAACUGAUACACAGGUGCUGCAUGUCUGUCGUCGCUCGUGUCGUGAGAUGUUGCAAUAAGUCCCACAACCGCGCAACUCUUGUCCCUAGUCGCUACGUAUAGCCUCUACCCAGACCGACUGUGACAGUCGGAGGAGGUGGGAUGACGUCUUGUCCUCAUGGUCCUUUAUUGUGUAUGGCUUCUACGUCCUACAACUGUUCGUAACAGACGGGUCGUCGAGUACGCUCAAGAGGAGUCAUUCAUCACAAAUCUGAUCGUAGUCUGGAUCGUACUCUGUCAGCUACGUUGCUUGAGCUGUAAUCGCUACUAAUCGCG